UCAGGACGAACGCUGGCGGCGUGCCUAAUACAUGCAAGUCGAACGAACUCUGGUAUUGAUUGGUGCUUGCAUCAUGAUUUACAUUUGAGUGAGUGGCGAACUGGUGAGUAACACGUGGGAAACCUGCCCAGAAGCGGGGGAUAACACCUGGAAACAGAUGCUAAUACCGCAUAACAACUUGGACCGCAUGGUCCGAGUUUGAAAGAUGGCUUCGGCUAUCACUUUUGGAUGGUCCCGCGGCGUAUUAGCUAGAUGGUGNGGUAACGGCUCACCAUGGCAAUGAUACGUAGCCGACCUGAGAGGGUAAUCGGCCACAUUGGGACUGAGACACGGCCCAAACUCCUACGGGAGGCAGCAGUAGGGAAUCUUCCACAAUGGACGAAAGUCUGAUGGAGCAACGCCGCGUGAGUGAAGAAGGGUUUCGGCUCGUAAAACUCUGUUGUUAAAGAAGAACAUAUCUGAGAGUAACUGUUCAGGUAUUGACGGUAUUUAACCAGAAAGCCCGGCUAACUACGUGCCAGCAGCCCGCGGUAAUACGUAGGUGGCAAGCGGUUGUCCGGAUUUAUUGGGCGUAAAGCGAGCGCAGGCGGUUUUUUAAGUCUGAUGUGAAAGCCUUCGGCUCAACCGAAGAAGUGCAUCGGAAACUGGGAAACUUGAGUGCAGAAGAGGACAGUGGAACUCCAUGUGUAGCGGUGAAAUGCGUAGAUAUAUGGAAGAACACCAGUGGCGAAGGCGGCUGUCUGGUCUGUAACUGACGCUGAGGCUCGAAAGUAUGGGUAGCAAACAGGAUUAGAUACCCUGGUAGUCCAUACCGUAAACGAUGAAUGCUAAGUGUUGGAGGGUUUCCGCCCUUCAGUGCUGCAGCUAACGCAUUAAGCAUUCCGCCUGGGGAGUACGGCCGCAAGGCUGAAACUCAAAGGAAUUGACGGGGGCCCGCACAAGCGGUGGAGCAUGUGGUUUAAUUCGAAGCUACGCGAAGAACCUUACCAGGUCUUGACAUACUAUGCAAAUCUAAGAGAUUAGACGUUCCCUUCGGGGACAUGGAUACAGGUGGUGCAUGGUUGUCGUCAGCUCGUGUCGUGAGAUGUUGGGUUAAGUCCCGCAACGAGCGCAACCCUUAUUAUCAGUUGCCAGCAUUAAGUUGGGCACUCUGGUGAGACUGCCGGUGACAAACCGGAGGAAGGUGGGGAUGACGUCAAAUCAUCAUGCCCCUUAUGACCUGGGCUACACACGUGCUACAAUGGAUGGUACAACGAGUUGCGAACUCGCGAGAGUAAGCUAAUCUCUUAAAGCCAUUCUCAGUUCGGAUUGUAGGCUGCAACUCGCCUACAGAAGUCGGAAUCGCUAGUAAUCGCGGAUCAGCAUGCCGCG
rnacentral:rRNA from 2 species